GGACGCGUAGCCCAAUGGUAGGGCGUCUGACUUCGAAUCAGAAGGUUGAGGGUUCGAGUCCCUUCGCGUUCA